AGGGUUGUUUCUCUUACAUGUUCUCACUCCUCUCUUCCAGCUGCCAUUUCUGUGCCCACUGCAACUUUUUUUUUCCUUCUUAAAUAUGUUAUCACAGAGGCACUACCACUGUCCCUGAUUGGCUUGGCCUCGGUCAGUGGUGGUUCUGUCUUAGAGCUGGCUAGCAUUGGCUCUAUCAGACAUGGGGGGAAGCUUCCAGCAGCUUCUUACAGAAGCCACCCCUGUAGCCCCCCCUGCUACCAAAACCUUGCCAUGCAAACCCAAUACACUAAAGCAAUUCAGAUGGAAAUUACAUAACUCCAAGUUUUUUCCAUAAUUCAAAUUCUAAUAAUUUAGGAUGCAUGUUGAGAUCUUUGAAUGAAAGUGCUAAAGAAACUCCAUCUACCUUGAUGCUAGUUAUUUUAAUGUUCUUAUCCAAUUAGGCCUUUGAACCCUCCAUCAGAUUGUUUUGAGUAAGGUUGACCAGGCACUCCAUACAAAAGCAUCUGUUGACCUAGCAGGUGAAUAUGCCAGAUGUAUGGAGAGUCUAGGAAUUCCUGUGACCCCAGGCAUGUCAGUCUGAAACUUUUCUACAGCAUGUCCAAAUGCCUUGAUUAAACAUGCCUUUCUUUCCCAAUAAUGCUUGACAUAAAAAAAAAAAAAGAGUUGUUGUUUGUAAAAUAUUCUACUUUAUGAAACUGAAAUAAUUACUUUAAAACUUGGGGUGAUCUUAAUGAUCUCUUCUGAAGGAAGAUUAAGGUAAAUAUAAAACAACCUUUUGGAGGCUAUAUUUUAGAGUGACUAGAUGUGAAUACCACAUUAGAUGUUCUGUCACAUCCGUGUUGGAUGUGCAACUAGCCUAAAAUGGGAAAUUGAGUUUCCCUUGUAGUCAACAGAAUAUGGCUGAUACUUUUAGAGGCGUACUCAGACCCUUUUAUGUUAGAAGUUUCAAAGUAGUUGAUGCAAAUUCUUUUAUUAAUUUCUUCUUAAAGUUGAAGUACUGUAUACAUCAAAGGAAUAACUGCAUUUGAUUUAAAUAAAUUAAUGUUAAUCUACUUUUUAAGGAACAAACAUGCUAGCUACUUUUGGACAUUUGGCAGGUGGUUAUGAUGGUCAGUACUAUGGAUACCUGCGUAGUGAAGUGUUUUCCAUGGACAUUUUUUAUAACUACUUUAAGCAAGAAGUUAUAAUGAAUCCAAAGGCUGGGAUGAAAUACAGAAACUUCAUUUUGAAACCUGGAGGAUCUUUGGAUGGGAUGGAUCUGCUUCAGAAUUUCUUGGAGCAUAAACCAAGCCAGAGAACUUUCCUACUGAGUAAGGGAUUAUGUGUUCAGUAAGGUUAUGGUUACUUUGUAAUGGCAUGUAAGUAUGGAAUGAGCUGGAAAUGUCAGUGUAUUUCACAUCUUAACUAUGUAUAAUUCUAGGGAAAUUGGGUCAAUUUUUGAUGAUUUUUUAAAUUGUAUAAGUAAAAAUGUGAUUUUUAAAUUGCAUAGGACUACAACAUUGAACACGGGAAAAAAAUCUGAGAGGUGUAGAAGCUGAGAAAUUUGGAUGGUAAUUUCUUUGAAUUUUUAUGAAAUAAUAACUAAUCAGCAUGGGGAGUUGAUGCCUUGUUUCUCUUUUAAUAGAUGCACUUAAACUAUGUCUUGUGAACGAAUUUUAAAACUGGAGAGGAAAAAAAGGACACUACCAGAAAUAAAAGAAACAAAUUCUUUUUUAUUCUGUAUUCUUUUAUUGUAUUGAUGGCUCACGAAUGUUUUUGAUGAAGUGUGUUUGAUUUAAUCAUGGUUUGGUUUCAGUCUAGCUUCCUGACAAAUUUCAAGACUGAGAAUCUGCCCCAGACAGCUUUACAGCAGAGAUACUUGCGUGAUACUUUUAGAUUUCAUUCUGAUGCAUGUUAAAUUCUUGUAUCAUUUAGAAACUUAUAUAGUAUAACUAAAAAGAAAAAACCCUACCAUUUGAGCUAUCAUUUUCUUCCCUUCGUUGAGGAAAACCAGCCAAAAUCUGUGACCUUGGCAUUUCUCCCACCACUCUUUAUUUUUUGUUGAUGAUCACAAAUCAGGUCUUUUCCAAAUUAUAUCAACACUGGCACUAAAAAGGUAUACUUGAGCAAUUAUAAUGGUUUCAGUUGGUUUGUGAAGUAUUUUGAGAUACAUAUAAGGAAGGAAGGGAAGAAGAUGUCCCCAGUGGGCAUAGUAAAAGUCAAUACAAGUUUUUCCUAUUCCUUUCCAGUGUGGAAUGCAGAAUUGCUACAAAAAAGCUUCAUAAAUUUAAUGAUUUCAGCUGUGGGAGUGUGAAAGUAAUCAAGGAAUUAUUUUGCAGUUUUUCUACAAGAUGAAGAAAAAUGAGUCUCACAAGCCAAUUAUACACCACCCAAAUAAAACUGCUAAUCCAA